UACAGAGGUGGCAAGCGUUGUUCGGAAUUACUGGGCGUAAAGGGCGCGUAGGUGGCCUUGUUAGUCAGACGUGAAAUCCCCAAGCUUAACUUGGGAACUGCGUCUGAUACUGCAAGGCUUGAGUUCGGGAGAGGGAUGUGGAAUUCCAGGUGUAGCGGUGAAAUGCGUAGAUAUCUGGAGGAACACCGGUGGCGAAGGCGGCAUCCUGGACCGAAACUGACACUGAGGCGCGAAAGCUAGGGGAGCAAACGGG
rnacentral:ncRNA from 3 species